GACGAACGCUGGCGGCGUGCUUAACACAUGCAAGUCGAACGCUGAAGACCUGGCUUUUGUUGGGUUGGAUGAGUGGCGAACGGGUGAGUAACACGUGAGUAACCUGCCCUCUUCUUUGGGAUAACGCCCGGAAACGGGUGCUAAUACUGGAUAUUCACUGGCCUUCGCAUGGGGGUUGGUGGAAAGGUUUGUUCUGGUGGGGGAUGGGCUCGCGGCCUAUCAGCUUGUUGGUGGGGUGAUGGCCUACCAAGGCUUUGACGGGUAGCCGGCCUGAGAGGGUGACCGGUCACAUUGGGACUGAGAUACGGCCCAGACUCCUACGUGAGGCAGCAGUGGGGAAUAUUGCACCAUGGGCGAAAGCCUGAUGCAGCGACGCCGCGUGAGGGAUGGAGGCCUUCGGGUUGUAAACCUCUUUCGCUCAUGGUCAAGCCGCAACUGUGGGUUGUGGUGAGGGUAGUGGGUAAAGAAGCGCCGGCUAACUACGUG
rnacentral:rRNA from 1 species